GUUGCAUGCUGGGAGGCGUAGUCUCUGCCGGGCGGACGCACAGUCGUCAGGAGAUGGGACCAGAUGAGGAGCCUUUCACUGCAUGAAGACUAACAAAAGGAGAAACUGCACCCAUUUCAGAGGAAUUGAGGGGGGCCCUGGGCCACUCAAGAUUCCCUGAGAAAACAGCUGAGGAAGACCACUAUAUAACCCUACUCAAAAGCUUCUUCCAACCCAGUCUCUGGCUGCAGCCUUUUCUGGUCUUCAACUAAAGGAGGACGUGAGCCACAUCCAGCUUC